AGAGUUUGAUCCUGGCUCAGGAUGAACGCUAGCGGGAGGCUUAACACAUGCAAGUCGAGGGGCAGCACGAGGUAGCAAUACUUUGGUGGCGACCGGCGCACGGGUGAGUAACACGUAUGCAACCUACCCUGUACAGGGGGAUAACCCGGAGAAAUUCGGACUAAUAUCCCAUAAAGAUAAUGAUGGGCAUCCAUUAUUAUUUAAAGCUCAGGCGGUACGGGAUGGGCAUGCGGAACAUUAGCUAGUUGGCAGGGUAACGGCCUACCAAGGCUGCGAUGUUUAGGGGACCUGAGAGGGUGAUCCCCCACACUGGUACUGAGACACGGACCAGACUCCUACGGGAGGCAGCAGUGAGGAAUAUUGGUCAAUGGGCGCAAGCCUGAACCAGCCAUCCCGCGUGAAGGAAGAAGGCGCUAUGCGUUGUAAACUUCUUUUCCAGGGGGUGAAUUUUCCGGUCGUGACCGGAAUUGACGGUACCCUGGGAAUAAGCAUCGGCUAACUCCGUGCCAGCAGCCGCGGUAAUACGGAGGAUGCAAGCGUUAUCCGGAUUUAUUGGGUUUAAAGGGUGCGUAGGCGGACGAAUAAGUCAGUGGUGAAAACCUGCAGCUUAACUGUAGACUUGCCAUUGAUACUGUUUGUCUUGAGUAUGGUCAAGGUAGGCGGAAUGUGUAAUGUAGCGGUGAAAUGCUUAGAUAUUACACAGAACACCGAUUGCGAAGGCAGCUUGCUGGGCCAUUACUGACGCUGAUGCACGAAAGCGUGGGGAUCGAACAGGAUUAGAUACCCUGGUAGUC
rnacentral:rRNA from 1 species